GGACGGGUGGCAGAGCGGUUUAAUGUACCUGACUCGAAAUCAGGAGUAGGGGUAACCCUACCGUGGGUUCAAAUCCCACCCCGUCCG
rnacentral:tRNA from 5 species